rnacentral:siRNA from 1 species
AGACAUAAAUUUGGUGACAGAUGC